rnacentral:rRNA from 1 species
UACGAAGGGUGCAAGCGUUACUCGGAAUUACUGGGCGUAAAGCGUGCGCAGGCGGUUAUGCAAGACAGAUGUGAAAUCCCCGGGCUCAACCUGGGAACUGCAUUUGUGACUGCAUGGCUAGAGUACGGUAGAGGGGGAUGGAAUUCCGCGUGUAGCAGUGAAAUGCGUAGAUAUGCGGAGGAACACCGAUGGCGAAGGCAAUCCCCUGGACCUGUACUGACGCUCAUGCACGAAAGCGUGGGGAGCAAACAGG